rnacentral:rRNA from 1 species
GACGAACCGUCCUAACGUUGUUCGGAAUCACUGGGCUUAAAGGGCGCGUAGGCGGCCCGUCAAGUCGGGGGUGAAAGCCCACGGCCCAACCGUGGAAGGGCCUCCGAUACUGACGGGCUCGAGGGAGGUAGGGGCAGGUGGAACUUCCGGUGGAGCGGUGAAAUGCGUUGAUAUCGGAAGGAACGCCGGUGGCGAAAGCGACCUGCUGGACCUCUUCUGACGCUGAGGCGCGAAAGCCAGGGGAGCGAACGGG